rnacentral:rRNA from 1 species
CCUACGGGUGGCAGCAGUGAGGAAUAUUGGUCAAUGGCCGAGAGGCUGAACCAGCCAAGUCGCGUGAGGGAAGACGGCCCUACGGGUUGUAAACCUCUUUUGUCGGGGAGCAAAGCGAGUCACGUGUGACCCAUUUAGAGUACCCGAAAGAAAAGCCUCGGGUAACCCCGUGCCCGCCGCCGCGGGAAUACGGAGGAUGCGAGCGUUUUCCGGAUUUUUUGGGGUUAAAGGGUGCGCAGGCGGAGGUGCAAGUCAGCGGUCAAAUUGCGGGGCUCAACCCCGUACCGCCGUUGAAACUGCAUCCCUUGAGUGCGCGAGAAGUAUGCGGAAUGCGUGGUGUAGCGGUGAAAUGCAUAGAUAUCACGCAGAACUCCGAUUGCGAAGGCAGCAUACCGGCGCUCAACUGACGCUGAUGCACGAAAGUGUGGGUAUCGAACAGGAUUAGAUACCCUAGUAGUC